CCUACGGGGAGCAGCAGUGAGGAAUAUUGGUCAAUGGACGAGAGUCUGAACCAGCCAAGUAGCGUGAAGGAUGACUGCCCUAUGGGUUGUAAACUUCUUUUAUAUGGGAAUAAAAUGUUCCACGUGUGGGAUUAUGUAUGUACCAUAUGAAUAAGGAUCGGCUAACUCCGUGCCAGCAGCCGCGGUAAUACGGAGUAUCCGAGUGUUAUCCGGAUUGACUGGGGUUAAAGGGAGCGUAGGCGGAUUGUUAAGUCAGUUGUGAAAGUUUGCGGCUUAACCGUAAAAUUGCAGUUGAAACUGGCAGUCUUGAGUACAGUAGAGGUGGGCGGAAUUCGUGGUGUAGCGGUGAAAUGCUUAGCUAUCACGAAGAACUCCGAUUGCGAAGGCAGUUCACUGGACUGCAACUGACACUGAGGCUCGAAAGUGUGGGUAUCAAACAGGAUUAGAUACCCGAGUAGUC
rnacentral:rRNA from 1 species